UUCCGGUUGAUCCUGCCAGAGGCUACUGCUAUCGGGGUCCGACUAAGCCAUGCGAGUUGAGAGGGGUAAGCCCUCGGCAUAUUGCUCAGUAACACGCGGAUAACCUGCCCUUGGGUUUGGGAUAACCCCGGGAAACUGGGACUAAUACCGGAUAGAUCAAAGAAACUGGAAUGUUCUCUGAUCGAAAGCUCCGGCGCCCAAGGAUGGGUCUGCGGCCUAUCAGGUAGUAGUGGGUGUAACGUACCUACUAGCCUACGACGGGUAAGGGUUGUGAGAGCAAGAGCCCUGAGAUGGAUUCUGAGACAUGAAUCCAGGCCCUACGGGGUGCAGCAGGCGCGAAAACUUUACACUGCGGGAAACCGCGAUAAGGGGACCCCGAGUGCCAGCACCUAGUGCUGGCUGUCCAGCUGUUCAAAUAACAGUUGUUAGCAAGGGCCGGGCAAGACCGGUGCCAGCCGCCGCGGUAACACCGGCGGCCCGAGUGGUAGCCGUUAUUAUUGGGUUUAAAGGGUCCGUAGCCGGCCUAUUAAGUCUCUUGGGAAAUCUGGCGACUCAAUCGUCAGGCGUUCAAGAGAUACUGGUAGGCUUGGGACCGGGAGAGGUGGGAGGUACUCCAGGGGUAGGGGUGAAAUCUCGUAAUCCUUGGGGGACCACCGAUGGCGAAGGCAUCCCACCAGAACGGGUCCGACGGUGAGGGACGAAAGCUGGGGGCACGAACCGGAUUAGAUACCCGGGUAGUCCCAGCCGUAAACGAUGCUCGCUAGGUGUCAGGUGCGGUGCGACCGCAUCUGGUGCCGCAGUGAAAACUUGAAGCGAGUCACCUGGGAAGUACGGUCGCAAGGCUGAAACUUAAAGGAAUUGGCG
rnacentral:rRNA from 1 species